ACCCUGACCAAAAUAGACCGUGCACGCGUCCUCUAGCCAGCCGGCGGCGGCAACGUUUGUCGCUCGGCCAAGCCCUCGACAACCUCCUCUCCUCGGAGUUGAGGCUCGAGAUAAAAGAACCUACGGCGCCUAAGGCGUCAAGGAACACUAUGCCUAGCGGCCCGGGGAUGCGUACGGCUUGCUGUCCGCCUUCCGGUGCUGCAAUGCUUUUUAAUCCACACGACUCUCGGCAACGGAUAUCUCGGCUCUCGCAUCGAUGAAGAACGUAGCGAAAUGCGAUACCUGGUGUGAAUUGCAGAAUCCCGCGAACCAUCGAGUCUUUGAACGCAAGUUGCGCCCGAGGCCAUUCGGCCGAGGGCACGCCUGCCUGGGCGUCACGCUAAACACGCUCCAACCUGCCCUCAUCAGGGAGCGGGAUGCGGCAUGUGGCUUUCCGUCACGCACGUGGCGGUGGGCCGAAGAUAUGGCUGCCGGUGUUUCGUGUCGGACACAGCGCGUGGUGGGCGUCCUCGCUUUACUUACCGCAGUGCAUUCGGCGCGUAGCUGACGUGAUGGCCUUGACGGACCCUAAAACGGAGCGUAAUGCUCUGACC
rnacentral:rRNA from 1 species